UUUUCCAUACACAGAAUACUUCGACUAGGCGGAAAUAUUGACCUUAUGAAGCCACCACACACUUGCAGUUUGUGCUCUCGUGGCAAAGAAUGUUAGAGACACUGCACUAGCAGUCGAUACCAUGGGGGGACGAGAGCAAUCAGACACAGCCUAGUCCUAAGAGGACAGAACCGUUGCAAAGCGCACGGUUGCGUUGGAAGCGAAACAGGCGGAAGGCUUGUUCGAGUGGGCGUGGUGAGCCACAAUGGACGAACGUUGCUGUAACAGAUGUGAACCAACUGUGGUUACAUUUCAAGCAGCCUUCACAUCAGGCACAUUAUUGAUUCUCUGUACCUGUACUGUAACACCUAUAAAAAAAACACCUGAAAAAUAAAAAAUAAAAUUACUUCAAAUGGUUUGGAGUGACAAGUAAGGAGCCAGUCUAUUGGAGCAUCUUCAGCUGAGCCAACCAAUCCUAGGUGUUGUACCAUGUGAUGGAAGGACCACUCACUGAUCCACUGUCAGCAAUGUGAAUGUCGAGUGAAAUUGAGAUAUUGGGACUGUCCGGAUGAAAAAGUUGACCGAAUCACGUGAUCUAUCCAUCUGGUUCACUGGUGACAGCACUAGGCGGGUCGUAGGUGGUGUGACGUCACAAGGGCGCCGUCACCACAACCCUGGGGUCCCCCAUUCUGGCUUCAUCCUUCAACCUGAGACGGAUCUGAAGGGAUGUUCACUGAUGAUGAAGUGAGGAGGACAUGUGCUUUUGUGUGUUUACAAAAAAAAAUAAUGAGCUGCGGUUGAGUAUUGCAUUACAAUUUAAUUUUUAUUCCUUUAACUCUAUGUUUGGUAUUAAAUCAUUAAGAAAGAUAACUCUUGUUGAUGGAGUUACCUGUCUUGAGAACAUUUUUAUCUAUCUUGUACACCUCUAGCAAUAUUGACAAAAAGGACUUUAAUUUUUCCAAUAUCAAUUUCCCCCUCCCUCCUUCCCCACCUACAUGAAGAUCAAUUAUCAUCCAACUCAAAAGUUACUGUGGUGAAAUAAUUGAAUAUUAUAAUUUGUGGAAAUAAAACUAAUCAU